rnacentral:rRNA from 1 species
GGUAUAGGUUUUCGGACCUAGAGACCGGCGCACGGGUGCGUAACGCGUAUGCAAUCUACCUUUCACAGAGGGAUAGCCCAGAGAAAUUUGGAUUAAUACCUCAUAGUAUUAUAGGAUGGCAUCAUUUUAUAAUUAAAGUCACAACGGUGAAAGAUGAGCAUGCGUCCCAUUAGCUAGUUGGUAAGGUAACGGCUUACCAAGGCAACGAUGGGUAGGGGUCCUGAGAGGGAGAUCCCCCACACUGGUACUGAGACACGGACCAGACUCCUACGGGAGGCAGCAGUGAGGAAUAUUGGUCAAUGGACGCAAGUCUGAACCAGCCAUGCCGCGUGCAGGAUGACGGUCCUAUGGAUUGUAAACUGCUUUUGUACGAGAAGAAACAACAUUACGUGUAAUGUCUUGACGGUAUCGUAAGAAUAAGGAUCGGCUAACUCCGUGCCAGCAGCCGCGGUAAUACGGAGGAUCCAAGCGUUAUCCGGAAUCAUUGGGUUUAAAGGGUCCGUAGGCGGUUUAGUAAGUCAGUGGUGAAAGCCCAUCGCUCAACGGUGGAACGGCCAUUGAUACUGCUAGACUUGAAUUAUUAGGAAGUAACUAGAAUAUGUAGUGUAGCGGUGAAAUGCUUAGAGAUUACAUGGAAUACCNAUUGCGAAGGCAGGUUACUAC